rnacentral:rRNA from 1 species
GGACUACUGGGGUAUCUAAUCCUGUUUGCUACCCACGCUUUCGCGCCUCAGCGUCAGUUACAGUCCAGGUGGUCGCCUUCGCCACUGAUGUUCCUUCCGAUCUCUACGCAUUUCACCGCUACACCGGAAAUUCCACCACCCUCUACUGUACUCCAGCUAAUCAGUCUAAGAUGCAAUUCCUAGGUUAAGCCCAGGGAUUUCACAUCUCACUUGUCUAACCGCCUACGCGCCCUUUACGCCCAGUAACUCCGAUUAACGCUCGCACCCUCUGUAUUACCGCGGCUGCUGGCAC